UUCUUGCCUGCGGACGGCCGUGGCCAGAGGAGGAGAAGGACGAUGAGAGUUGAACGGAGGAACAUCGCAUGCCCGCGGGCUGCGCGAGUUGCCCGCGGAGGACUUCUGCAAAUGACCAGCAUGGUUCAAGGAUGAAGCCGGCAUGGCAGCUGUAAUGGAGCACUGUCCCUUCCACUGGUGGCCCGGGUGGCUUCACCGUCACUCGGCCGUUCUCCAGGGAAGUCCACACCCGCGGGCACAGCAGCACUGGAAACCAGAAGGACCGCGAAACAGAAGGAGACAGAGACACAGUUAUAGAAAGUUCACUGCUGAAUGAGACAUGGAAGGAUCAGAGCUGGAUGUCAUGUGACAAAGGUCAAAGGUUGCAGCUGAUCCUGUGACGUGGCUUUGGCCUCUGUAGCGGAUCCCCCCAUCCCUGGGAGGCCGGAUGAUGGCACAGCCUGAGAAAAAGAGAAGAGGAAGAAGAAUGAAGGAAGAAACACGACAAGAGCAGAGAGGGAAAGCUCUGUCUCCAGAUAAUGUCUAUGGCUGCAUCCACCCGAUCUGUCCCCAUCGUGCCACCGCUGCAGGCUCCGCCUUCUUUCUUAACUCUGAUGUCAGACUCCGC